ACCUGUUGAGUGUGCGGUUCAUGGGUCCUGUUAAUGGCUUCCGCGGUGGUCAUCACGAUGACGCUCUGGUCGUAGAUCCUAGCGUCCAUGAGGCGAAAAUUGACAUUAUAGAUGUUUCUUGAUAAAACAAGCUCUGCCACCUCCAGGCGUGCCUCUCUGGAAAUUGUGGAGACCGCGGCAUUGAGACAGCUGGUCUUGCCCUCGGUGGUGAGUCUCUUACAGAAAUUGUUGUUACCUAAGUUGCGGAGAGCGACCACAUUGUUGUCAACUCUAACAGGCCAAAACAAGGUAUCGGAGUUGUUGGUGGUGGAAUCAUCGGAGUCAGCCCAUAUCCAGUUAGGGCUGCGCCUCCAGAAUCUGCCGAAGUAAUCUGACUUUAUGCGGACGCUUCCAUCGUGAGUGGUGAAGACCUCGUUCCCCACCGUCGGGUCUCCAAUGUCACUUGAUGCGAACUCCAGAUAUGGGUGUCCCUCGAUCUUCCGGGCACUGAGGUAGUGGCCAUUAUCGCCCUUGAAGGCGAUAUGUUUUGGCAAUAUCAAUAGUGAUUCCCAAUCAAUGAUUGUACAGACAUCGCAGAGGUCGUUGUCAGCCGAAGUUGAUCCUGCAAACAAACAGGAACCAUAAGGAGGUGGAAGCCUCCAUAAGCAUGCAUAGUGUCCGAGCUGGACGUGGCGAAAUCGGAGUGUUUGAGCAUCGCCAUCUACGUGCACAGGCUCGAACAAGGUGCAUGACCAUGACGAUUGGUCUUCAUCUGGUUCGUCCGCCCCGGCAACAAUCCACCAGUGGUUCUUGGACCACCUUACCCAGUAUUUGUUGUUGUAGCAGCAUCUUAUGUGCACUAGUCCCCCGCCAUUCUUUGCCCUCUCCACUUGGUACUUUGAGUAGGGUGUCACGACCUCCUCUCCCGAGAAUUGGAGAAAUCCAUGAAUUUGCACAUCUUCAUGGAUGUACCGCAAGUACUUGUUGUUAUAUUUUGAUUUGAGCACCACAUACCUUGGUAAUGCCAUUUCCUCUUUAAUCACUUCUCACUGCACUUUUCUUCCCUUCACUCGGCCUUAUUUAUAAGGGAAAAAACUAUACUUAGAUGUGAAACCAUAUUUCACAUCGUAGACUUUCAUUUGCAUUCCCAUUCUGAUUUGGUAGAUAAAUUUAAGAUGCUAUUUAUUCCUCUGGGUCCCGCAACUUUCAUUGAAUAUCAUUAAUAGCAAGACUAAAACCACAUGUCAAAUUGUAGACUUUUACUCGUAUUCUCAUUUACAUUCCCGUUCUCAUUUGGUAGAUACAAAUAAAUUUAAGAUGCUAUACAUUUCUGUGUCCCACAACUUUUAUUGAAUAUCAUUGAUAGCAAGACUUAAACCACAUGUCAAGUUGUAAACUUUGAUUUGUAUUCUCAUUUGCAUUCUUGUUCUCAUUUGGUAGAUAAAGAAAUUUAAGAUCCUAUAUAUUUAUGUGUCCCACAACUUUUAUUGAAUAUCAUUAAUAGCAAGACUAGAACCACGUCAAAUUAUAGACUUUGAUUCGUAUUCUCAAUUGCAUUACCAUUCUCAUUUGGUAAAUGUAUAUACCAAUAAAUCAAGACAUCCUUUCUUUCCAUUGCAUGCUUAGUGUGGAUAAGAAAGACUCCCAUAAAACAAAUAAUGUAUAUAUGACAUAAAAAUAAAACUAUGCAUUAAACAUAAAACAUUUUAGUGGUAAAAAUAGUAAAUUGGAUUGCAAAUAGUGAGAUUUCAUUAAUAAUCAUAUAACCUAUAAAGACACGUUGAUGGUAGAAGUUAGGUUUUUUGGGUCUCCUAUAAAUAAUUUCACAUGACAUCUAUUAUUAAUACACACUUCUAUAACACUCUCACUAGCCAUUUAACAAUCGUCGAUAGUCUAUAACUCAUACAUUGACUACCAUAAUUUUUUUUUGCUUUCCAUUAUUUUAUUUUUCUCUUCAGUAUAAUAUUUAUAAUAUGAUAAUAUUGAUUAUUUAGAUUUUGUGAGAAAUAAGAAGAUAAAUACAUGAUCUAGUUUUAUUCCUAAUUGAAUAAACCAAAAACUAAAUUUAAAUAUAUAUAAAACCAUGUUUCACAUUGUGGAUUUAGAUUCACAUUCCCAUUUGCAUUCUCAUUCUUAUUUGGUGGAUAGCAAUGAUAUAAUAUAUUAUUUCUUCCAUUAUAUAUGUCUCUCAAUAUGAAUUAAACUACAAGACAUCAUUUCUUUCUAUAUCACAUGCUUGGCUAAUGAUAAGAAAGACUUUGACAUAACAAGUAAUAUGAAUGCGUGAAAUGUAAAAGAUUUAAUGGAGAAAAGGAUAAGAGUGAACAUAAGUGGUAAGUGGUGGGAUUUCCUUAAUCAUUAAUAAUUAAUAAUGAUAGAAGUUAGGUUUGUCAAGUCUUCCUUUGUAAAUAAUUAUUAUUUUACUAGAAUUUAUAAAUACACAAAAAAAAAUAGUAGUAGAUGUGAAUCUCAUGUAAAAAGCUAAUCUUGAGUGAUAAAUGGUGUUAACCCUUAUGAGAAGAGUCGUCUUUAAUUCUAAUUUUUGUGGGAUUGGAAACAUGACUCGGAUUGGAUCAAACAAAUGAAAUUGAUUUUUCAAAAUUUUAUAUUUUAUUGCAUCAAUAAAUAUCUUAAUCUAAUAUAUAAUUUAUCAACCUUUUAAAUUAUGAAAACAAAAUUGACUUAAUAUAUAUAAUUUUUAAACUUGUGUUUCAAUACCCAAUCACUGGUCAUUAAAAAGUCAUCAAUUUCAAAUAUUCUAUAACUCAUACAUGGACUUCUAAAUUUUAUUUUUUCAACUGACUUUAUUUUCUCUUAAGUAUAAUUGUCAAAACUAGAUAAUAUUGAUUAUUUAGAUUUUAUGACAAAUUUGAAGAUAAAAUAUACAAUCCAACUUGUUCCAAAUUGAACUAACCAAAAAUUAAAUUUAAAUGUAAAACCAAAAUUUACUUUAUAGACUAAGAUUUGCAUUCCCAUUUGAAUUCUCAUUCUUAUUUUGUGAAUACUAAUAAAUUAAAAACACUAUUUCUUUCUAUAUGCAUGCCUCACAACAUUUAUUGGAUAUCACUAACAGCAAGACUAAAACAAGGCUUCACAUUCUAUACUUCGAUUCUCUUUUCCAUUUGCAGCUCCAUUCUCAUUUGGGGGAUACCAAUAAAUCUAAAACAUAAUUUCUCUUUAUAUAUCUCACAAAAUUUAUUAGAUAUUAGUAAAUGUGUGACGUCAUAUUUCUUUUUAUCACAUGCUUGGUAAAGAUAAGGACUCACAAAACAUAUAACAUUGAGGGGUGAAAAUGGUUAAGCGAUUUGUAAGCAGUGAGAUUUGAUUAAUACUUAUAUAACCUACAAAGACAUGUUGAUGGUAGAAGUUAGGUUUGUUGGAUCUCCUUUUGUAAAGAAUUAUUAUUUUACAUGACAUAUUAAUACUCACUCCAAAAAUAAGUGGACGUAGAACAUCAUAUGAAAUAAUAAUGAUGGAUGAUGAAUAAAGUUAAUUUCCAAAAGAAGAGUCUCUCUGACGAUUUUGAGUGGGAUUGGGAAAAGAUAGAUUAAUUUGGACCAAGAAAAUCAAUUUGACUUUUAAAAAUUUUAAAUUUUGUCGGAUUUAUUUAAAAAGAAGCUAAAAUUUUCAAUCUAAUAUAUGAAUAAUCAACAUGUUAAAUGGUUGAAAACUGAAUUCACUAGGAUAUAUCUAGAAUUUUUAAAUUUGUGUGUCAAUCUACUAUGACAUCUCACCAGUUAUCAAAUAAGCAUCAAUGAGCAUAAUAUGAUAAUAUCGAUUAUUAAGAUUUUAUGAAAAAUAUGAAGAUAAAAUACAUGAUCUAGGUCCAUUCUUAAUUGAAUUAAUCAAAAAUUAAAUUUAAAUGUAAAACCAUGUUUCACAUGGUAGACUUAGAUUUACAUUCCCAUUCCCAUUUGCAUUCUCAUUCUCAUUCUCGUUUGGUAGGUACCAAUAAUAUAAGAUAUUAUAUUUCCUUUAUAUGUAUAUGUCUCACAACAUUUAUCAAACUACAAGACAUCCUUUCUUUCUACAUCACAUGUUUGGAUAAGGAUAGGAAAGACCUUGACAUAGUAAGUCACAUAUUUAGCAUAAAAAUAAAUUUGAAAUCAUGAAAGGUAAAGUAUUCAAUGAAGAAAAUGGUAGAGUGGACUACAAGUGGUGGGAUUUUCAUUAAUAGUUAAAUAACUUAUAGAGACAUGUUCAUGGUAGAAGUUAGAUUUGUCAGUCUCACUCUUUAAAUAAUUAUUGGAUGUGACAUCUAUAAAUACACACAAAAAAAGAAGUAGAUGUAGAAUCUGAAGUAAAAACUAAUCCUAAGUUAUGAAUGAGGUUAACUCCUAUGAGAAGAGUUUUUAAUAUUAAUUUUUAUGGUGUUGAAAAAAUGAAUAGAUCACAAUCAUCCAUUCCUAAUAAUUCAUAACCCUUAUAUUGAUUCCUAUAUUUUAUAUUUUUAGUUGAUUUUAUUUUUUCUCUUAAGCAUAAUUGUCACAGCAUAGUACUAUUGAUUAUUUGGAUUUUAUGACAAAUUUGAACAAGAAGUAUAUGAUCCAACUUUUUGAAAACUUGAAUUAACCAAAAAUUAUAUUUAACUUAAAACGGUAACUCACAUAAUAAACUAAGAUUUGCAUCCUCACUUGCAUUCGCAUUCUCAUUUAGAGGAUACCAAUAAAUAAAAGACAUCAUUUCUUUCCAUGUCUUACAACAUUUAAAAACUAUGUUGCACAUUUUAAACUUAAAUUCAUAUUCACAUUCCCAUUUCUGCUCUCAUUUGGUGGAUACAAACACUUACAAGACGUGAUUUCUCUCUAUUUGACUCACUACAUUUAUUAGAUAUUAGUAAUCGCAAGACUUUCUUCUUCUUUUUUUCUAUCAAGUUCACAAAACAAGUUAUAUAUCACACAUAAAAAUAAAAAAUAAAAAAAUAAAAAAAUAAAAAGUAUUCACUAUAACAUAAAGCAUUGAAUGGUGAAAAUAGUAAAGUAUACUACAAGUAGUGAGAUUUCAUUAAUAAUUUUACAAACUAUGAAGAUAUGUUGUUGGUAGAAGUUAGGUUUGUUGGGUCUCCUUCUAUAAAUAAUUAUUAUUUUACAUGACAUCUACUAAUACCCACUCCAAAAAUAAGUAGACUUAAAACCUAAUGUGAAAUAAUAACCAAAGAUGGUAAAUAAGGUUAAUUUCCAUAAGAAGAGUCUCUCUUAUAAUUUAGUGGGGUUCAAAAAAGAUGAAUUGAUUUGGACAAAGCAAAAUCAAUUUGAUUUUUCAUCAACGUAUAUUUGCACUAAGAGCAUGUCAUUUUCUUUGGUUUUUAUGAAAAGAGUUGUGUCUAUUUUUCCCAUUUUAAAACCCUCUUUCAAAAGAAAUUUACUCAAUCUUUCAUACCAUGCUCUAGGUGCUUGUUUCAAACCAUAAAAUGCCUUUUUAAGUUUAAAAACAUGAUUAGGAAGGUUAAAACUUUGAAAAUCGGGCGGUUGUUCUGUUGGGCUUUGUGGAGCCUAGUUUUGUUUGAUCCGGUUUGGCGACCUGACCCAAAUAAUAUUGCAUGACUUUUUAAUGGGAGAUUCACUAAGGCUUGUUGGGCCCGUUUAGCCCAUUGUGGAACCACCUUUUGUAAUUAGGGUUUUUAAGUGUAGUGUGGUUGCCAUGUUAUAUAUAGAGAGAAAAUAUUGUAGCCGCUGUGGUGGUACUCUAUAUUUUUCCCUGAUAAUAGUGAUAUCCCUACAACUCCGUGGACGUAGGCAAAUUGCCGAACCAUGUAAAUAUUGUCUUGUGCAUGUGAUUGUUUUUCUUUGGCGUGUGUUUUCUCUAAUUUUUGUUUCUCACGGGUUGGGAAUUCGGUUUAAUUCCCUACAACUGGUAUUAGAGCCUAGGGUUAGGUUUGAGUGGGAGCAAUGGAAAAAGAAGCAGGAAAGGCAUCUGGAAUAGAAAAGUUUGAUGGCACAGACUUUGCGUAUUGGAAGAUGCAGAUUGAAGAUUAUCUCUAUGGGAGGAAAUUGCAUCUACCUCUUUUGGGGACAAAACCUGAGAGUAUGAAGGCUGAGGAAUGGGCGCUUCUUGACAGACAGGUUCUAGGAGUUAUUAGGUUAACUCUGUCUAGGUCUGUUGCACACAAUGUUGUAAAGGAGAAGACCACAGCAGAUCUAAUGAAGGCUUUGUCCAGUAUGUAUGAAAAGUUGUCCUCAAACAAUAAGGUGCAUCUGAUAAAGAAAUUGUUCAAUUUGAAGAUGGCAAAGAAUGCAUAAAUAGCACAACAUCUGAAUGAAUUUAAUACAAUCACAAAUCAAUUAUCGUUUGUAGAAAUUGAUUUUGAUGAUGAGAUUCGUGCUCUAAUCGUCUUGGCUUCUUUGCUAAACAGUUGGGAGGCAAUGAGGAUGACAAUAAGCAAUUCUACAGGAAAGGAAAAGCUCAAAUACAAUGAUAUACAAGAUUUAAUUCUGGCUGAGGAGAUUCACCGAAGAGAUGCAGGCGAAACCUCAGGAUCUAGUUUUGCCCUAAACCUUGAGACAAGAGGCAGAGGUAAUGACAAAAAUUCAAACCAGGGUAGAUCAAAAUCUAGAAAUUCUAAUCGGAACAGAAGCAAAUCUAGAUCAAGCCAACAAGUACAAUGUUGGAACUGUGGGAAAACAGGUCACUUUAAAAGGCAAUGCAAAAUCCCUAAGAAGAAGAAUGAAGAUGAUUCUACUAAUGUUGUAACAGAAGAGGUACAACAUGCAUUACUUCUUGUAGUAGACAGUCCACUCGAUGAUUGGGUUUUGGAUUCAGGAGCUUCGUUUUAUACCAUUCCACACCGAGAAAUCAUACAGAAUUAUGUUGCAGGUGAUUUUGGUAAGGUGUAUUUGGCUGAUGGUUCAGCCUUGGAUGUUGUGGGUCUGGGAGACGUCCGAAUAUCGUUACCCAAUGGGUCUGUUUGGUUACUGGAGAAGUUCGACAUAUUCCUGACCUAAGGAGGAAUCUGAUUUAUGUUGGACAACUUGAUGAUGAAGGACAUGCAAUACUAUUUGUUGGUGGUACUCGGAAGGUUACAAAGGGAACUAGGGUAUUGGCUCGUGGAAAAAAGACCGGUACACUGUAUAUGACCUCAUGUCCAAGAGACACAAUUGCAGUUGCUGAUGCAAGUACUGAUACAAGCCUAUGGCACCGUAGACUUGGUCACAUGAGUGAGAAAGGGAUGAAGAUAUUGUUAUCAAAAGGGAAACUACCAGAAUUGAAGUCCAUUGAUUUUGACAUGUGUGAAAGUUGCAUCUUAGGAAAACAAAAAAAAAGUGAGCUUCUUGAAAACUGGCAGGACACCGAAGGCUGAAAAAUUGGAACUAGUACACACUGAUUUGUGGGGGCCUUCUCUGGUUGCAUCCCUUGGUGGUUCAAGGUACUACAUCACUUUUAUUGAUGACUCAAGCAAAAAGGUAUGGGUUUAUUUUCUGAAAAAUAAAUUUGAUGUAUUUAAAGCUUUUAAGAAGUGGAAGGUCAUGGUUGAGACAGAAACAGAUUUGAAAGUAAAAUGUUUGAGGUCAGAUAAUGGAGGAGAGUACAUAGAUGGAGGGUUUAGUGAGUAUUGCGUUGCACAGGGAAUUAGAAUGGAGAAGACCAUUCCUGGGACACCACAGCAGAAUGGUGUGGUUGAGCGCAUGAACAGAACUCUCAAUGAGCGUGCUAGAAGAUGAGGUUGUAUGUUGGACUACCAAAAACUUUUUGGGCUGAUGCUGUUAGCAUUGCAGCUUACCUGAUAAACCGAGGACCAUCAGUUCCUAUGGAAUUCAGACUUCCUGAGGAGGUUUAGAGCGGUAAAGAGGUGAAGUUUUCACAUUUAAAAGUUUUUUGUUGUAUUUUUUAUGUUCAUAUUGAUUUUGAUGCUCGUAGUAAACUUGAUGCAAAGUCAAAAAUAUGUUUUUUCAUUGGCUAUGGUGAUGAGAAAUUUGGCUAUAGGUUUUGGGAUGAACAAAACAGGAAAAUCAUCAGAAGUAGAAAUGUGAUAUUUAAUGAACAGGUUAUGUACAAUGACAGGUCAACUGUAGUGUCAGAUGUUACAGAGAUAGAUCAAAAGAAAUCUGAGUUUGUCAACUUAGAUGAAUUGAUUGAAAGUAUUGUCCAAAAAGGGAGUGAAGAAGAUAAGGAGAAUGUAAAUUCACAAGUAGAUCAAAGUACACCUGUAGCUGAAGUUCGCAGAUCUUCCAGGAACAUUAGACCUUCACAGCGUUAUUCACCUGUUUUAAAUUAUCUCCUGUUGACUGAUGGUGGUGAGCCAGAGUGUUAUGAUGAGCCUUGUAAGAUGAGAAUUCAAGCAAGUGGGAGUUAAUCAUGAAGGAUGAGAUGGAUUCCUUGUUGGGGAAUCAAAUAUGGGAACUGACUGAAUUGCCAGUAGGAAAGAAGGCUUUGCACAACAAGUGGGUAUACAAAAUAAAGAAUGAGCAUGAUGGUAGCAAACGUUACAAGGCCAGAUUAGUUGUUAAAGGGUUCCAACAGAAGGAGGGCAUUGACUACACAGAGAUAUUUUCUCCAGUUGUGAAGAUGUCAACAAUUAGACUUGUACUUGGAAUGGUGGCUGCAGAAAACUUACAUCUUGAGCAGUUAGAUGUGAAGACAACAUUCUUUCAUGGUGACUUGGAGGAAGACCUUUACAUGAUUCAACCAGAAGGGUUCAUUGUUCAUGGACAAGAGAAUCUAGUCUGCAAACUGAAAAAGAGCUUGUAUGGCCUUAAACAAGCUCCUAGACAAUGGUACAAGAAGUUUGACAAUUUUAUGCAUAGAAUUGGGUUCAAGAGAUGUGAAGCUGAUCAAUGUUGCUAUGUUAAGUCCUUUGACAAUUCUUACAUCAUAUUACUAUUGUAUGUGGAUGAUUUUCUUAUUGCAGGGUCUGACAUUGAAAAGAUUAAUAAUCUGAAGAAGCAAUUGUCCAAACAGUUUGCAAUGAAGGAUUUGGGAGCUGCAAAGCAAAUCCUUGAUAUGAGAAUCAUUAGAGACAAGGCUAAUGGUACAUUGAAGCUUUCACAGUCAGAGUAUGUGAAGAAAGUUCUUAGCAGGUUCAACAUGAAUGAAGCUAAACCAGUGAGCACACCCUUGGGUAGUCAUUUCAAACUAAGCAAAGAACAGUCACCGAAGACAGAAAAAGAAAGGGACCAUAUGAGCAAGGUGCCCUAUGCCUCAGCUAUUGGCAGCUUGAUGUAUGCUAUGGUGUGUACAAGGCCAGACAUUGCACAUGCAGUGGGAAUUGUGAGUAGAUUCAUGAGUAGGCCUGGAAAGCAGCAUUGGGAGGCAGUCAAGUGGAUUCUAAGAUAUCUGAAGGGUUCAUUAGAUACAUGUCUUUGCUUCACAGGUGCAAGUUUGAAACUGUAGGGUUAUGUAAAUGCUGAUUUUGCUGGUGAUAUUGAUAGUAGAAAGAGUACUACUGGGUUUGUUUUUACUCUAGGUGGUACAACUAUAUCAUAGGCUUCAAAUCUACAGAAGAUUAAUUGUUACUUUGUCUACUACAGAAGCUGAAUAUGUUGCAGCAACUGAAGUUGGAAAGGAGAUGAUUUGGCUACAUGGUUUCUUAGAUGAAUUAGGUAAGAAGCAGGAGAUGGGCAUUCUACACAGUGAUAGUCAGAGUGCAAUUUUUCUUGCCAAAAAUUCGGCUUUUCAUUCAAAGUCGAAGCAUAUACAAACAAAAUACCACUUUAUCCGUUAUCUUGUUGAAGAUAAACUGGUAAUACUUGACAAGAUUUGUGGAUCUAAGAACCCGGCAGACAUGUUGACUAAGGGUGUCACUAUUGAGAAGUUGAAGUUGUGCGCAGCUUCAAUUGGUCUUCUAGCUUGAGGACAGGAGGAUGAGUUGUAGGGAUGAAGGAUUGUUUCUUGGAUGAUAGCGGUUUGAUGUUGGUGAUUGAACUAAUCUCCAAGUGGGAGAUUUGUUGGGCUUUGUGGAACCUAGUUUUGUUUGAUCCGGUUUGGCAACCUGACCCGAAUAAUAUUGCAUGGCUUUUUAAUGGGAGAUUCACUAAGGCUUGUUGGGCCCGUUUAGCCCAUUGUGGAACCACCUUUUGUAAUUAGGGUUUUUUAGUGUAGUGUGGUUGUUAUGUUAUAUAUAGAGAGAAAAUAUUGUAGCCGCUGUGGUGGUACUCUAUAUUCUUCCCUGAUAAUAGUGAUAUCUCUGCAACUCCGUGGACGUAGGCAAAUUGCCGAACCACGUAAAUACUGUCUUGUGCGUGUGAUUGUUUUUCUUUGGCGUGUGUUUUCUCUAAUUUUUGUUUCUCAUGGGUUGGGAAUUCAGUUUAAUUCCCUACAUGUUCAACUUAUACCUCUUCAUUUAUAAAGCCAUUUAAGAAAGCACUUUUCACAUCCAUUUGAUAUAAAACAAAGUCUUUAAAACAUGCAAAGGCAAUUAGCAUCCUAAUGGCUUCCAAUCUAGCUACGGGAGCAAAGGUUUCUUCAUAAUCUAUCACUUCUUCUUUAUUAAAACCUUGGGCUACCAAUCUUGCUUUAUUCCUUAUAAUUAUGUCAUUUUCAUCCAUUUUAUUUCUAAAGACCUAUCUAGUUCCAAUAACACUUUGAUUUUGAGGUCUUGGCACUAAUUCCCAUACUUCACUCCUUUCAAAUUGAUUUAACUCUUCUUGCAUGGCAAUCAUCCAAUUUUCAUCAAUUAGAGCAUCUUUUAUAGUUUUAGGUUCAAUUUGAGAGAUAAAAGCAAGAUUAUUGCAAAUAUUUCUAAGAGAUGAUCUAGUUCUUACCCCACUAGAUGGAUUACCUAUAAUUUGAUCUUGUAGGUGGUUGAUGACAAACUUCCAAUCUUUAGGGAGGUCUUGGCUUGAUUCACCUUGCACUUGUUGAAGAGGAGGUAGUGCCAAAGGUGAUUCUUCUUUCUUGGGAUCCUCUACAACUUCUUCUUAUUGCCUUCUAUCUUCAAUUUGUAAUUUUCCCAUAGAGGUCUCCAACCCUAAAUCAUCAUCAAAGCUCUCUCUUUCUUGGAGAGAAUUGUUAGAUUCAUAAAAAAUAACAUGGAUGGACUCCUUAACAACCAUGGUUCUUUUGUUAAAAACUCUAAAGGCUUUACUUGAAGUUGAGUAACCAAGAAAAAUUCCAACAUCCGAUUUUGCAUCAAAUUUUCCAAAUUUGUCUUUAGUGUUUAAUAUAAAUCAUUUGCACCCAAAGACUUUGAAAUAGCUAAUGUUGGGUUUCUUGUUUUUCCAAAGCUCAUAGGGAGUUUUCUUAAGAAUAGGCCUUAAUAAAAUUCUAUUUAAAACAUAACAAGAAGUGUUAACCGCUUCAGCCCAAAAGUAUUUUGGUAAAUUGUUUUCAUUUAGUAUGGUUCUAGCCAUUUCUUGAAGAGUUCUAUUUUUCCUUUCAACUACCCCAUUUUGUUGAGGAGUUCUAGGAGCCGAAAAUUUGUGAUUAAUACCAUGCUCAUUGCAAUAGUCUUCAAAAUUAAUAUUUUCAAAUUCUCUCCCAUGAUCACUUCUUAUACAAGUAAUUGUAAAACCUUUUUCAUUUUGAACCUUGUUGCAAAACUUUGAAAACUCAUAAAAGGCUUCAUUCUUUUGACUUAAAAAUAAGACCCAAGUGUAUCUAGAGAAGUCAUCCACAAUAACAAAAGCAUAAGAUUUUCCUCUAAGGCUUGGUGUCCUAGAGGGACCAAAUAAAUCCAUAUGCAACAAUUCAAGAUGCAUAGUUGUUGAAAUGAAAUUUUUGUUUUUAAAAGAGUUUUUGAUUUGCUUUCCCACUUGACAAGCUUCACAAACUUUGUCUUUUUGAAAAUUUAUUUUGGGAAGGCCUCUAACAAGUUCAUCUUUGUUGAGUUGGGAAAUGAGGUCCAUGUUAGCAUGUCUCAACCUCCUAUGCCACAACCAACUUUGAUCAUGCAUGCUUGAAAAGCAUCUAUCAUGGCCAUCAUAUUUUGAAAUAUUUAUUGCAUAAACAUUAUCACAUCUAUGGCCCAUGAAGAUGGUUUUAUCAUUUUGAAUAUCUUUGAUGAUGCAAUGAGAUGCUUCAAAAAUCACUUUAAAACCUUUGUCACAAAGUUUUCUUAUGCUCAAAAGAUUAUGUUUUAAACCAUCCACUAAUAAAACACUUUCAAUAAGAGAGGAUAUGUCAUUACCAAUGUUGCCUUGACCAAUGAUCAUUCCUUUUGAAUUGUCUCCAAAGGUAACGUAUCCUCCCUUUCUCUUUGUAAGGAAAGCAAACUUGGAUUCAUCCCCGGUCAUGUGUCUUGAGCAUCCACUAUCCAAGAACCACUUAUCCUUCUUUGAUCCCUAUAAAAUAAAAUUUAAGCUGAUUUAGGUACCUAUAUCUUUUUGGGUCCUUGAGGGUUAGUGACCUUGGAUUUCUCAACCCAAACCUUUUUAGGUUUAGCAUUUGAAUUCUUUUGAGAACAAUUUCUUAAGGGACAUGUACUACAAAUGUGCCCUCCUCUUCCACAAAAGUUGCAAGUGGUGGAAGGACUUGCACUUGCGGAUUCUUUUACAAAGUAGUUUUUAAAAUACUUUUGAUUUUUUUUUUUAAGAUUUGAAUCCUAGCCCUUGUUUGUCAAAGACACAUUUUUGGCUAGCUAAGAUCAUUUCAAAAUAUUUUUGUCCACAAGAGAAAAUUGAAAGAGAGGAGGUUAACCAUUCAUUUUUCUUUUUCAAAAUCUCAUUUUCUUUUUCAAGAUGAGUUUUAGAUAUUUCAACAAUUGAAAAUCUUUCUUUCACUUCUUCAAGUUCCUUUUCAAGUUCUUGAAUUUUCUUUUUAAGAGAAUUAUUUUUCAAACUAAGUUUUUCAAAAUCCUCAUAUAAUUCUUUAAAAACAUCAUGCAUAUCUUUAUCACUAAAGUUAGAUUUUACCUCAUCAAGAUCAUCUAUUUCCAUAAAGCACAUGUUUGCCACUUCCUUCUCAUUUUCUUCUUCAGAGGAUUCUUCACUUUCACUCCAAGUGGCCAUCAUUGCCUUCUUCAUUCUUCUCUUGGCUUCACUCUUGUAGAGAGGACAAUCAUAUUUAAUGUGUCCCGAUUUUUUGCACUUGAACCAUAUCAAAUCUCUUUUCUCUUCCCAUUUCUCCUUGUCACCAUGGGAUGAAGAUUCCUUUUUAGAAGGAUCCCUUCCAAAGGUGAAUUUCCUUCCUCUAAACCUUUCACUUCUCAUGUAUUUGUUGAGCUCUCUUGUGAUGAGGGCUAAAUCAUCAUCUUCAUCACUUGGCUUUUCUUCUUCAAAAUCUUCUUCUUCCUUGGUUGUAGCUUUGAGGGUUAUACUCUUCUUCUUUUUGUCUUCACCCUCUUGUAGCUUCUUUGUCAAAUUGAUCUCAUAUGUCAUUAAUGACCCUAUGAGCUCUUCUAUAGGUAGCUUAGUCAAGUCUUUUGCUUCUUGAAUUGCGGUGACCUUGGUAUGCCAUUUUGAUGGGAGAGACCUCAAUAUCUUCAUCACCUUCUCGAAUUCCUUGUAGGUUUUUCCCAAAGCUUCAAGACCAUUGACAAUGUCGGUGAACCUAGUAAUCAUCUCAACAAUAGUCUCAGUUUCUUUCAUUGAAAAUAAUUCAUAGUUAUGAACAAGUAAAUUGAUUUUUGACUCUUUCACUUGAUUAGUUCCUUCAUGAGUUAUUUCAAGCAACCUCCAAAUUUCUUUAGCCGAUUUGCAUUGUCAUAUUCUAUUAUAUUCAUUUCUAUCCAUAGCACAUUGCAAAGUAAAACCGGCUUUAGCAUUUAAUUGAAAGUUUCUUCUAUCAAGCUCACUCCAUUCUUGCUUGGGUUUUGGAACCAAAACUCCAUCAACUAGUUUAGUGGAAAAAGUUGGGUCAUCUUCAAUGACAUCCCAUACAUCUAAAUUAGUUGAUUGCAAAUACCAAGUCAUUUUAGUUUUCCAAUAGGAAUAGUCGGUUCCCGUAAAGAAUGAAGCUCUAUGUUUUGAAAAAAUUUCAGCUUGGGAUGAGCUUGAUGGAAUAGCCAUUUCCUCUUAGACGAUUAAGUCUUUAGAAAAAAACAAGAGGUCUAGCUCUGAUACCAAUUGAGAAAACAAAGGCUAUACUUAGUUAAGAAAAACACCCAAAAGGGGGGAGAGGGUGGUGAAUUGGGUUUUUAAAAUCUUUUCAAUCACAACAAAUUCAAACACAAUAUAAGCAAAAUAAAGAGAUAGAGUUUAGAGAAUUCAAACUUAGGUUUAUAGUGGUUCGGCACUUCCUUGCCUACGUCCACUCUCCUCAACCUCCUAAUUGAGUGAGGGUUCCACUAACUUGAAGCUUCAACCAAGCUUCCAAUCUUCUUACACUUAGAUUCUGGCUCCAAUGGGCUCUUACACAAUCUCUUCAAGAUUCAAACCUCUUGAAGGCUUUGACACUCAGAUUUUUAUAAGAAAUGAUCCCUCAACCUAGCUUAAGGAUAGCUCAAAUACAAGACAAAGCUAGGAUGACACACAAGAGUGCACUAAAUGAUAUGCAAGUGGUGAUUUAAUGCACUAUGAAAGAAAUGAGAGCUUUUUUAUCAAGAACAGGUAGGUAGGCUAUUGAAUGCAAGUGUUCUAUUGUAAUAAAUGAAGUGGAGCUCUCAAUUUAUUGGUUUCAAAACUCGGGAGUCAAAAACAGCAAAAGGUAACCUCGUCCGGUCGAGCUAAGGGUCGACCGGUUCACUAGCCAUUGGAGCAUUUAAUGCAUGACAGGUUACCGUUGCCUUAACCGGACCUCGACCGGUCCUCGACCGGACAUCGAUCGGUAAGAGAAUCCCCUCGACCGGGAAGAGAAGGCUACUGGGAAAGAGAGAAACUUUUUGGCCUCCCUCGACCGGUCCUUGACCAGACGAGCACAACCGGUUUACCGGUUCCUUAACCGAUUGAGCUGGUUGGCCAUAGCCUCGACCGAUUGAGCCUUUUUUGCCCCGAAAACCUAUUUUUUUAAUUCCUUUCUUUUCUAACACUUAGGCAAGGUCUUUAGGUAAAUCAUUAAGCCAAUUAUAAAAUAUUUUGCCUAAGGUACAUUACUUAAAAACUCAGGUUUUAAUGAAAUCGACGUUUUAAAUAAUAAACCAAGUUUUCAAAGAUGCAUGAAAUGUGUGAAAAUCCUAAGUGCACUCAUGCAUUCAUCUUACAUUAGUUUCCUAUUAUCACAAGUCUUACAAGCGUCUCGAUCUUGUAUCCAUUUGGUCCUUUGAUGAAUUUUCGAGUUUAUGCCUGAGAUUCUUAACCAUUAAAUAAAUUAGUCACUUAACCAUGGUUUGUUAUCAUCAAAACCCGAUUAGGAGAACCCUUGGGCUAACAAUAGCAAUAUCAUUUCCAGUGUUUAUUAAAUCAUCCACACAUAAAUAAACAAUGAGCAUUUUUCCUCCAUCACCAAUUUUAACAAAAAGUGUAUGCUCACAUUUUUUAAAACCUUUCUUCAAAAAAUAAGCAUCAAUCCUCCUACUAUACCAAGCUUGUGGGGCUUGUUUUAGUCCAUAUAAAGUUUUCUUUAAUUUAUACACUUUAUGCUCAUUUCCAACCUUAAUAUAACCAAGAGGUUGAUUAAUAAAUACCUGUUAAGAAUUGAGCUAUUUUUCCGUUCACAAACUCCGUUUUGUUGAACAUGUAAGUUGCAGUGAGUUGCCUCCUGAUUCUACGAUUCUCACAAAAGUUUGCAAAUUCUUAUGAGAUGUAUUCUCCACCACAGUCUGUACAAAGAACUUUGAUUGGGCUGCCCAUGUCUUUCUCAACUAGCACUUUAUAGGUUUUAAAGGCUGUAAAAGCUUCAUAUUUCUCCUGCAAAAAAUAUACCUAAGUUUUCUGACUAAAAUCAUCAAUGAAGGUAAUUAUGUAUCUUUUACCUCCAUUUGAAGAUGGAUGUAUUGGGCCACAUAGGUCAUAAUGCACCAGCUCCAAUGCCUUCUUUGCUCUCCAUGACUUUCCUUGUGGAAAUUGAUUUUGGUGUUGUUUGCCACUACACAUUCUUCACAAACUUGUUGAGGGAAUUCAAUUUGAGGAAGGCUAGUCACCAUUUUUUUUUUAUUAUAAUGUCUUGAGUCGAAAAUGCCAAAGCCUUGCAACAUCCUCCAUCUUAGUAGAGAAGCAUAAAUUAGUAACACUAUGGAGAUACAAAGGAAACAUACGAUUGGCAGUCAUAUGGACUUGAGCAAUCAGGCCUUUCUUUGAAUCAUGAAUUUUGCUCCAAUGAUUUCUCCUCCUAUGCAUGUGUCUCUCAACCAAGCACACAUUUUCUCCCUCUGAUAUCAACUUCCAUAGUCUUGUAUUUUUGCCCACGUUUUGAGGCAACAUGUCAAAGGCGAAGGUGAAAAACUUUAUGAAAGAGGAUUUGAUGAAAACAAAAAUGUUUUUAUGACUAUAGUUAAGAAUUCACUCAAGGCUUUUAUCAUUUUUAGAUUGUCAAUUAUAUUUUUCAUCUUUUUUGGACAAUGGUUGAUGUACAAAAGGUUUUAUAGUUAAGAAUUAACUCAAAGCUUCAUCAUCGUCUUUUUCAAGGAGUUAUAUAACCUCAUAUAUUCAAGGACAUACUCUUGGUACUUAUCAAAACAAUUAAUCUUAAUCAGUCAUGAUAAAAACUCAAUUAAUCCUAGAUUGACUAUUCAAAAUAUGUGCCAUCAAUAUGCCUUUAUUACAACAAAAAUUAGUGCUUUUGAAAAAUUAAUGUUUUUAUAUAAAGGACAAACAUUCAAACUUGGUGUGCAAUUCCUCGUGACAGUAUCCCAUUUAAUUUUUAGUAUAAACAUAUUCUAUUUUCACUAUGUUAUUUUUAACAAGCUCCCUAAUAUAGUAUAAUCAAAUGUUAAUAUGCUUAGUCCUACUACGCUUAUUGAAAUCGAAGCAAUUAUUGCACUACUAUUAUCACACAAGAUGAACAUAGUAUUGCAUUUGAUUCCAAAAUCUUCUAUCAUCUAUUUAAUCCAAUUUAUUGAGUAUAAGAAUUACCUAUACUAUUCAACUUUUGUAGUAGAUAAGCAAAUAUAAUUCUGCCUUUUUCUCAUCCAUGCAACGAAGUUGCUCCUGACGUAAAAUCAACCUCUUGUAGUACUGUUUUAUAAUACAAGAAACCUAGAGUAAUAUUGUUAGUACACUAUAACCCUAAAUUGUAAGAUCUAGCAAUACAGUUGAUGAUCAUUUUUACUAUUGCGAGACGAGAUUCUUUUGGGCUUGAUUGGUAGCACAAAAACCUACACUACAUGCUAUGUCUAGCCUACUAGAUGUAAGAUACAAGAGAUCUCCAAUCAUGCUUCUAUGUGAUGUAGAUUGAUCAAUCUCCUUACUUUUUUCAUCCUUGGAGAACAUAACACUUGUUCUGACAAAGGUUCUCUCAUGUUUAGCUGAUUCCAAGCCAAACUCUUUACCAACUCUAUAGCAUAAUUGACUUCGAUAUAAAGAUUCCAUUUUUAAUCUGUCUUAUUUGCAGUCCAAGAAAGUAAAAUAACUUUUUCAUUGUGCUCAUUUCCUGAAUAAAUUCAUGUGCUUCAUCAGUUAAUGUGAAACUAAAUUUGAUGUUAUCGACAUAUACUUGGGCUACUACAAGGACACCAUCCUUUCUCCUUACAAACAAAGUCCUAUGAAAUGUAUGUCUUUCUUUAUAAGAUGGUUAAAAAAUAUUUUUAAACUUAUUUUUUACGAUGAAGAAUAAAUUUUAAUGAAAGUAGUAGAUGAAGAGUACAUGAGAAAGAAUUUCGUUUUAUAGUAAAAUUUUAUUAGAAUAAAAGGAGUUUCUUUUAUUGUGUGAAUUUUUUAUUUUUUGAAAGAAUUAAGAAUAAAAUAUAAAUUUUUUUUACUAAGAAAAAGGGUAAUAUUAAGACUAAAAUUUCAUAUAAUUUUAAAAAUAAGGGACCAUGUUUUGCUACAAGUGCAAUAUAUCUAAUUUUUUAGAAUUCAAUUAGUAAUGAGUAAUGAGAACAAAAGAAAAAGGAAUCCUAAAUUUUAUAACUACAAAUUAAGAUAUGCAUAUUAAUUAAAUUGAAUUAAAAUUAAAAUAUAAAAUUGAAUAUUAUAAUUAUAUAAGAAGAUGUGACAACAAAUAAAAUCGUUCUAAUGUGAUAUUUGAAUGUAUGUCAAGCAAGUAGCAACAUAUGUUUAUGAAAUGGCAAAAGAACAAAAUCCCUUUUUAUAAAGAUAUGAAAGUCCCCUAUUUUUCCCAAAACAGACAUUAAUUGAAGAAGAUGGCAUGUGGUGCGCCCAUUCAAAGUGACUGUUAUAUUAAGGGCUCCACAGGCUUGUUAAUGCUGCUUUGUCUCUUGCAUAGGCCCUUUUGUAUACGGUUUGGGAUAAAAGCCUGCUGGGCAUUUACAACCCAUCUUUGUUGGCCUCUUCUCAGCUUUGACCAAAUCCUAGCUUUCACAUGCACACCUGCACCAUUUCUUGUUCCUGCUCUACAGGACCGGCGAAAAUGACAACAUAUCUUGUUUUCAAAAUCAAGAGGAGUGCACCUACUAUAUUUUAUUGAGCUUAAUGUGAUUUGUCAUCAAAAUAAGGGUUUUAAGAAAAGGAACUUAUCUUAGUCUACUACAAUGUGAACAUCUUAGUUUAGAUGACACAAGUAGUACAUUCCUAUCCAACGAGAAUGAGAAUAGGAAUCUAAGUUUUCAAUGUGAAGAAUAUAGUCUAAGUCUAGGUGAUAUGAUAAGUAUAUUUCUAUCCAAUGAGAAUAUUAAAACUUUAAAAAAAAAAUGCUGCACAACACCCACAUAAUAUUUAUUUCAUCAAUACUUAGAAAACACAAACUCGAGUAGCACGAUAAGUUAUAAAAGAAACAUCUUUCUUUAAAGCGCUCUCCAAUCAUGGACAACACUCUCAAGAAGUCCCAAACGUAGAGGCAAACACAAUUUUAUUACCCUUGAUAAUAUUAUUAGGCAAGGGAGGGGGAUUGGACCAAUGCAACUAGUCCUAGAAGCAUCACUUGGCAUUUCACAUCACAGCUUUUCCUCUUUGGUGUGGUACUUGACGUUGAAGCAAUUGACGCCAACGUAAACACCAUCAUCCAUAUUGUAAACAACAUUUUUCCCGUCGGUCAAAGUGUCGUGCUGAGUGUAGGAGAAAGGGACGUCGCACGAACCCUGUGUUGCUAUCAUGCUUACGGUCACCUUAGUCAUCGCCGGCACAGUAACAUUGUACACAGUCUCCAUUGCUGUUGUCACUGAUUCAGUUUCUCCCCACUCAUAUGUACCGCUAAACUCGGAUGAAAUUUCUAACUUUCCGUCAGCGAUGAAUGGAACGCCGCUUUCCAUGGUCAUUUUGACACCCAACUUCAAUGAGACGCUGCCCUUCCAAGUACGGCUCUUAGUCUCUGUAUACGAGAGCUUCACCUGUUGGGUGUGCAGUUCUUGGGUCAUGUUAAUGGCUUCCCCGGUGGUCAUCACGAUGACCCUCUGGUCGUAGGUCCUAGCGUCCAUGAGGCGAAAAUUGACAUUAUAGAUGUUUCUUGAUAAAACAAGCUCUGCCACCUCCAGGCGUGCCUCUCUGGAAAUUGUGGAGACCCCGGCAUUGAGACAGCUGAUCUUGCCCUCGGUGGUGAGUCUCUUACAGAAAUUGUUGUUACCUAAGUUGCGGAGAGCGACCACAUUUUUGUCAACUCUAACGGGCCAAAACAAGGUAUCGGGGUUGUUGGUGGUGGAAUCAUCUGAGUCAGCCCAUAUCCAGUUAGGGCUGCGCCUCCAGAAUCUGCCGAAGUAAUCUGACUUUAUGUGGACACUUCCAUCGUGAGUGGUGAAGACCUCGUUCCCCACCGUCGGGUCUCCAAU
rnacentral:lncRNA from 1 species